CUGCUCACUUGGGCAGCACAUACACUAAAAUUAAAAUGAUACCGAGAAGAUUAGCAUGACCACUGUAUGAGGAUGGCACAUGGGUCGAUGGGGAUAUGACUGGGGAUACAGACUCUU
ensembl:snRNA U6 U6 spliceosomal RNA